rnacentral:lncRNA from 1 species
GGACCUUCUACAGCAUACACAAUACCAGUUUCUUACUUCUUUUACCAAUGGUUGAAUGGUCUCCAGCUGUCAGAACUGGUUCGCUAUGUUAUGAAGGAGGUUGAAGACACAGGUUUCAAAGUUGUUUGUUUGGUAACUGACAACCACAAGUUUAAUGUGAGUGCAAUGAGUCUUGUGUAGUGGUUUUUUAAGGCACCGGAUUGAACAUCCAAAUGACAGUGACACGCUUCUGUUUUUAAGCUUUGAUUAUAGUCACAUAUCGAAAAACAUAAGAUCCCAUUUUUUGACGAGA